GGGAGCAGACCUAGAAGCAGACAACCCCCAGGCUCUGAUCCUGUUGCCAUGCGGCCGUUUCCCGGGCAACCCGUUCCCAGUGGCUCGUGAUGGAACAGUAAAACCGAGCCAAGAUUGCAGUCUGUGAUGUUAUCAAGAUGCACUGUCUGGAGCAGCUCCAUUGAAAUUAAAUGGGGCCCAGCUGUGAUAGAAAGCAAAGAUGCUGCGUUCCAGAGGUUACAAUGGUCACCCUCCUGGAAUGAGUCAACAGCCAAUGUACCAUGACAAGCAGUAUUAAAAGAUGGAGUGAAAAGUUCAUCUUGGCACAAACGCAUUUCUUAUUUGCAUAACUGAAGCUCGCUCUUCUGUUAAUAGCUAUGAUGAUAGCAGUAAAACCUAGUACUUAUACUCGGGGUUUUGUGACAGAGGUGUUUUGGGUUGAAUCUGUACGAUAUUUUCCACCCUUUUCAUGUCAGUAACAACGUUGAUUUUUUAUUUUUUUUUUCCAUUUCUCCGAGCCCUUGAAGACACCUCAGAAAAUGAAACUUCCCGUGCAUGAAAGCUAUAAUUACAGUGACUCCAUUUAGUGUUAGUGCACUGUGCAGAGAAGAGUGGCAUUCUCUAAUAUCCAGCUCAUAAUAACCCCAGAAAUUAUGAACAAGAUGAAAGAUAUCAGGCACUGGACUAUCACAACGUCUGAGCAGUUCUUUUUUUUCGUUGUUUGUUUGGGUUUCUUCUUUUCUGAGUAAUGGAUACCUCAGACAUUUCUUCAGAGCAUUCAUAACCAGUCGUCUUUUCAAAAGCAGAAUGAAAUCAAUGUGUGCAAUUUGCUUUAAUAGAGAGUGAAUGAAGUGACACAUAAAAAAAAUGGCAAU